ACGCUCGACACCUACGGGAGGCAGCAGUGGGGAAUAUUGCACAAUGGGGGAAACCCUGAUGCAGCGACGCCGCGUGAAGGAAGAAGUAUCUCGGUAUGUAAACUUCUAUCAGCAGGGAAGAAAGUGACGGUACCUGACUAAGAAGCCCCGGCUAACUACGUGACAGCAGCCGCGGUAAUCUGAGCGGGCUGGCAAGGC
rnacentral:rRNA from 1 species